AUACGGAGGGUGCAAGCGUUAAUCGGAAUUACUGGGCGUAAAGCGCGCGUAGGCGGCUAUGUAAGUCGGGUGUGAAAGCCCCGGGCUCAACCUGGGAACUGCAUUCGAUACUGCAUGGCUAGAGUAUGGUAGAGGGAAGUGGAAUUCCGGGUGUAGCGGUGAAAUGCGUAGAUAUCCGGAGGAACAUCAGUGGCGAAGGCGACUUGCUGGACUAAUACUGACGCUGAGGAGCGAAAGCGUGGGGAGCAAGCGGGAUUAGAAACCCCAGUAGUCC
rnacentral:rRNA from 1 species